rnacentral:rRNA from 1 species
GGACUACCAGGGUUUCUAAUCCUGUUCGCUCCCCACACUUUCGCUCCUCAGCGUCAGGUAAUGCCCAGAGAACCGCCUUCGCCACCGGUGUUCCUCCUGAUAUCUGCGCAUUUCACCGCUACACCAGGAAUUCCGUUCUCCCCUGCAUACCUCUAGUCUGCCCGUAUCGGAAGCAGGCUCGGGGUUGAGCCCCGAGUUUUCACUCCCGACGUGACAAACCGCCUACGAGCCCUUUACGCCCAAUAAUUCCGGACAACGCUCGCACCCUACGUAUUACCGCGGCUGCUGGCAC